GGAAGGAAGGAAGGAAGGAAGGAGGGGAGGGGAGGGGAGGGAGGGAGGGAGGGAGGAAAGGAAGGAAGGGAAGAAAGGGAGGGAAGGGAAGAAAGGGAAGGAAGGGAAGGAAGGAAGAAAGAAAGAGAGAAAAGAAAGUUCUAUGAAGAGAAUGAAAACAAGUGAUAUAAUGAGUGGAGGAGAGUGGACAAGCUAUUUUAGCAGGAUUGGUCAAGGAAAUCCUCUCUGAAAGGUGACAAGUUGAGAGUUGAAUAAUGCAGAAGUUAUGUGGAUUAAGAAAAACAAAAACAAACAAAACCUCAAAACAAGAACUAAAAUAAUCAUUGAUGAGUAAAAGCAAUAAAAUUCAUCCUGAAGACACCUGGUGCAAGAAGGGACCUAUUCCAUCUGCAAGUGAAACUCACUCACUUCCUUUCUCCAGAAAGAAAACUGAAGCCUGGAGAGGUAAAGAGACUUACCUAAGGCCAGUUGGCAAAAGACUCUUAACCUCCUGACCUCCAACUCCACUCCCUACUGGAAGAAUUUAUUUGAAUCUCUCUUUUCCUUGGCUAAGAAGAAUGAAGAGGCAGGAGACUUGGGGGACCCCUUAACUGGGGAUAAUUACUGGGACAAAUCAGCCAGCACAAAGAGGAGGCACUAAACAAUCAGUCCUGGUCUCUGUUAUCAGAGACUUUUGAUGCUACCAUUGGAGUCAGACAAGCAGACAAACAUCAACAAAAUGAUUAUAAACUAUGACACACUAUGAUGGGAAAGAAGGAGGCUGACAGAGAGGACAUUGGCAGGAAGGAGCCCUACUGUAGAUGUGGUGGUCAGAGAAGGGCCUUUGUGAGAAGCUGACACAUAAUCUCACAGUUGAAGUUGUGAGAAGGAGCUGGUCCUCCAGAGAGAAGUAGGAAGAGCGCUCCAGCAGAAUCUCUGGACAAGUGCAGCUACGACUGCUGCUGGGACCGCGAUACUGUGAUGAGACUUUGCAUAUUUAAAAGGAUGUCGAGAGAGGAGGAGGAAUGAUAAAUGAACUCAGGAAGAUGUGAUGUCUUCUGUGAUGACACUAAUAGAUGGAAUGCAGAAUUCAGCUCCAAUACUUAGGGUUGGAAACCAAACAUAAACAAGCAAGCAAGGAAAAUGAAAAGGAAUGUGUGUGUGUGUGUGUGUGUGUGUGUGUGUGUGUGUGUGUAGGUGUGAGAGUAUAUGAAAUACAUGAAAAGAUAAAAAGUUAGAUGCUGCUAAAGGGACAGACAUGUAGGAAUUUUACAUUAGGGUUGUUCUGAUUUUCAUUUUCUUGCCUUUUAAAAUUUAAUGAUAAACAAGUCUCCAGAGAUUUUUACAGCCUGGGAGACCACUGGUAAGACAACAAUAUAGGUGGUCCUCCAGCAGGAUCUAAAUCAGAGCCUUCAUAGUGGACUGUCGGGCCAGGUGCAGCUGUAGACAAUGCAUCUUCAGGAGUGGGGUGAAGAAAUUUAAUGGACUAGUAAUGCAACAGGAGGUAGAAGAAAAGUGUUCUCUCACUAAAGCAUGGUGGGUGUUUUCAAAAUGUUUAAAAAACAUUUUUAGGCCGGGCACAGUGGCUCACACCUGUAAUCUCAGAGCUUGGGGUGGCUGAGGACCCAAAAGGAGGAUCCCUUGAUGCCAGGAGUUGUAGACCAGCCUGGUCUAACAUAGCAAUACCCUGUCUCUAAAAAAAAAAAAAAAAAAAAAAAUUAAUUAGCCAGGCAGGUGACAAGUGCCUGUAGUCCCAGUUACUCAGGAGGAUAAGGCAGGAGGAUCGCUUGAACCCAAGAAUUUGAGGUUGUGGUAAGCUGUGAUCGUGCCAUUGCACUCCAGCCUGGGUGACAGAGUAAGACCUCAAUUCUUUUUUUUUUUUUUUUUUUUUUUUUGAGGCAGAGCCUUGCUCUGUUGCCCAGGCUGGAGUGCAGUGGCGCGAUCUCGGUUCACUGCAAGCUCCGCCUCCCGGGUUCACGCCAUUCUCCUGCCUCAGCCUCCUGAGUAGCUGGGACUACAGGCACCCACCACCACGCCCAGCUAAUUUUUGGUGUUUCUAGUAGAGAUGGGGUUUCACCAUGUUAGCCAGGAUGGUCUCGAUCUCCUGACCUCGUGAUGCACCUGCCUCGGCCUCCCAAAAUGCUGGGAUUACAGGCGUGAGCCACCGCGCCUGGCCAGACCUCAAUUCUUUAAAAACCAAUUGUGUUAUGCUUUUGGUUGCUGGGUUCUUAGAAGGAGGUUCUCAAGGUGGCAAGUCAGAGACAUUCUGUUCUGUCUGUCAGAAAUGCAAAAUAAUGGAGCAAAAUUCCAAAGAUAAAGUGAAAAAUAUGGCAAUCAGGAUAGCAAGAGCUGAGUGAAUGGUGUGAGUUUGAGGAGGUGUUUUCGAUUAACUUGUUUUAACAUUGAGCUGUAAAAAGAAGUUAAGAUAGGGAAGGAUGGGGUGAAAUAUUGCCUGGUCUCCAACUGAAACACAUGGGCCUGAGAUAUGGUGAAGUUUUACUAAUGGGAUGAAAAAGUGGAGUAGGCCUGGUGUGGAGGAGCACAGCAUCCUGAGCCUCGGAAGUGAUUCAGGUUAAAGGGCCUCUAAGGCUACACUCUCAGAGCCUUGGAAGAGCUACCUGGCUUGAGCUCUACUCAUAGCUACUUUUCUAUCCCCUGGUUGUCAGCUCUUCAGCCCUUUAUUCAUUCAAAAAAUAUUUAUUGAUGGCCUACUAAAUGACAGGCCCUGGGUGAACAGCUGUGAAAAAAAAAUGGGCAAAUGUCUCUGCCCUCCUGGGAUUCAUAUACUAAAGGGUCAAGAAUAUAAGAAUUUAUUAAAAGAACAGUCCAUGGAGGAAAAAAUGAAGCACAAGUAUAAUGGAUCUAUUGACCUGUGUAAUGACCCCAGAUCAAGACCCUGAUCACCCCAUUUAUUUGGUGCCUGUUAUUGUAAUGUCUUCCGCCAUCUGUUAUUACUACUUACCACCUCUCCUCUGAGACGUAUGGUCCAAGCCACAUACCCUCAAAAAAAAAUCUGUAUUGAAGUAUAAUUUAUGUACCAUAAGGUUCACCUAUUUUGAGUGUAUAAUUCAAUGAUUUUUAAUAAAUGUAUAGAGUUGUAUGGUCUUAUCAUUACAA